AUUGAACGCUGGCGGCAGGCCUAACACAUGCAAGUCGAGCGGGGUUUUCGGACCUAGCGGCGGACGGGUGAGUAAUGCGUAGGAAGCUACCCGAUAGAGGGGGAUACCAGUUGGAAACGACUGUUAAUACCGCAUAAUGUCUACGGACCAAAGUGUGGGACCUUCGGGCCACAUGCUAUCGGAUGCGCCUACGUGGGAUUAGCUAGUUGGUGAGGUAAUGGCUCACCAAGGCGACGAUCUCUAGCUGGUUUGAGAGGAUGAUCAGCCACACUGGAACUGAGACACGGUCCAGACUCCUACGGGAGGCAGCAGUGGGGAAUAUUGGACAAUGGGUGCAAGCCUGAUCCAGCCAUGCCGCGUGUGUGAAGAAGGCCUUCGGGUUGUAAAGCACUUUCAGCGAGGAGGAAGAGUUGUGUGUUAAUAGUACACAGCUUUGACGUUACUCGCAGAAGAAGCACCGGCUAACUCUGUGCCAGCCGCCGCUGUAAAAC
rnacentral:rRNA from 1 species